UACGUAGGGUGCAAGCGUUGUCCGGAAUUAUUGGGCGUAAAGAGCUCGUAGGCGGCCUGUCACGUCGGCUGUGAAAACCCGGGGCUCAACCCCGGGCCUGCAGUCGAUACGGGCAGGCUAGAGUUCGGCAGGGGAGACUGGAAUUCCUGGUGUAGCGGUGAAAUGCGUAGAUAUCGGGAAGAACACCCGUGGCUAAGGCGGCUCUCUAGUACGGUACUGACGCUGAGACGCGAAAGCGUGGGGAGCGAACAGG
rnacentral:rRNA from 1 species